GGGUUGUGAGGUUAAGCGACUAAGCGUACACGGUGGAUGCCCUGGCAGUCAGAGGCGAUGAAGGACGUGCUAAUCUGCGAAAAGCGUCGGUAAGGUGAUAUGAACCGUUAUAGCCGGCGAUGUCCGAAUGGGGAAACCCAGUGCAAUUCGUUGCACUAUCGUUUGAUGAAUACAUAGUCAAACGAGGCGAACCGGGGGAACUGAAACAUCUAAGUACCCCGAGGAAAAGAAAUCAACCGAGAUUCCCCCAGUAGCGGCGAGCGAACGGGGAGCAGCCCGGAGUCUGAAUCAGCUUGUGUGUUAGUGGAAGCGUCUGGAAAGUCGCAGGGUACAGGGUGAUACUCCCGUACACUAAAGCACACAGGUUGUGAACUCGAAGAGUAGGGCGGGACACGUGGUAUCCUGUCUGAAUAUGGGGGGACCAUCCUCCAAGGCUAAAUACUCCUGACUGACCGAUAGUGAACCAGUACCGUGAGGGAAAGGCGAAAAGAACCCCGGCGAGGGGAGUGAAAAAGAACCUGAAACCGUGUACGUACAAGCAGUAGGAGCCUCUUUAUGGGGUGACUGCGUACCUUUUGUAUAAUGGGUCAGCGACUUAUAUUCUGUAGCAAGGUUAACCGUAUAGGGGAGCCGCAGGGAAACCGAGUCUUAACUGGGCGUUAAGUUGCAGGGUAUAGACCCGAAACCCGGUGAUCUAGCCAUGGGCAGGUUGAAGGUUGGGUAACACUAACUGGAGGACCGAACCGACUAAUGUUGAAAAAUUAGCGGAUGACUUGUGGCUGGGGGUGAAAGGCCAAUCAAACCGGGAGAUAGCUGGUUCUCCCCGAAAGCUAUUUAGGUAGCGCCUCGUGAAUUCAUCUUCGGGGGUAGAGCACUGUUUCGGCUAGGGGGUCAUCCCGACUUACCAACCCGAUGCAAACUACGAAUACCGAAGAAUGUUAUCACGGGAGACACACGGCGGGUGCUAACGUCCGUCGUGAAGAGGGAAACAACCCAGACCGCCAGCUAAGGUCCCAAAGUCAUGGUUAAGUGGGAAACGAUGUGGGAAGGCCCAGACAGCCAGGAUGUUGGCUUAGAAGCAGCCAUCAUUUAAAGAAAGCGUAAUAGCUCACUGGUCGAGUCGGCCUGCGCGGAAGAUGUAACGGGGCUAAACCAUGCACCGAAGCUGCGGCAGCGACACUAUGUGUUGUUGGGUAGGGGAGCGUUCUGUAAGCCGUUGAAGGUGGCCUGUGAGGGUUGCUGGAGGUAUCAGAAGUGCGAAUGCUGACAUAAGUAACGAUAAUGCGGGUGAAAAACCCGCACGCCGGAAGACCAAGGGUUCCUGUCCAACGUUAAUCGGGGCAGGGUGAGUCGACCCCUAAGGCGAGGCCGAAAGGCGUAGUCGAUGGGAAACAGGUUAAUAUUCCUGUACUCGGUGUUACUGCGAAGGGGGGACGGAGAAGGCUAUGUUGGCCGGGCGACGGUUGUCCCGGUUUAAGCAUGUAGGCGGAUGUUCCAGGUAAAUCCGGAACGUUACUAACGCUGAGGUGUGAUGACGAGGCACUACGGUGCUGAAGUGACAAAUGCCCUGCUUCCAGGAAAAGCCUCUAAGCAUCAGGUAACAUCAAAUCGUACCCCAAACCGACACAGGUGGUCAGGUAGAGAAUACCAAGGCGCUUGAGAGAACUCGGGUGAAGGAACUAGGCAAAAUGGUGCCGUAACUUCGGGAGAAGGCACGCUGAUAUGUAGGUGAAGUGGUUUACCCAUGGAGCUGAAAUCAGUCGAAGAUACCAGCUGGCUGCAACUGUUUAUUAAAAACACAGCACUGUGCAAACACGAAAGUGGACGUAUACGGUGUGACGCCUGCCCGGUGCCGGAAGGUUAAUUGAUGGGGUUAUCCGUAAGGAGAAGCUCUUGAUCGAAGCCCCGGUAAACGGCGGCCGUAACUAUAACGGUCCUAAGGUAGCGAAAUUCCUUGUCGGGUAAGUUCCGACCUGCACGAAUGGCGUAAUGAUGGCCAGGCUGUCUCCACCCGAGACUCAGUGAAAUUGAACUCGCUGUGAAGAUGCAGUGUACCCGCGGCAAGACGGAAAGACCCCGUGAACCUUUACUAUAGCUUGACACUGAACACUGGUCCUUGAUGUGUAGGAUAGGUGGGAGGCUUUGAAGUGUGGACGCCAGUCUGCAUGGAGCCAUCCUUGAAAUACCACCCUUUAAUGGCUGGUGUUCUAACGUGGGCCCCUAAUCGGGGUUGCGGACAGUGUCUGGUGGGUAGUUUGACUGGGGCGGUCUCCUCCUAAAGAGUAACGGAGGAGCACGAAGGUCAGCUAAUCCUGGUCGGACAUCAGGAGGUUAGUGCAAUGGCAUAAGCUGGCUUGACUGCGAGCGUGACGGCGCGAGCAGGUGCGAAAGCAGGUCAUAGUGAUCCGGUGGUUCUGAAUGGAAGGGCCAUCGCUCAACGGAUAAAAGGUACUCCGGGGAUAACAGGCUGAUACCGCCCAAGAGUUCAUAUCGACGGCGGUGUUUGGCACCUCGAUGUCGGCUCAUCACAUCCUGGGGCUGAAGUAGGUCCCAAGGGUAUGGCUGUUCGCCAUUUAAAGUGGUACGCGAGCUGGGUUUAGAACGUCGUGAGACAGUUCGGUCCCUAUCUGCCGUGGGCGCUGGAGAAUUGAGGGGGGCUGCUCCUAGUACGAGAGGACCGGAGUGGACGCAUCACUGGUGUUCGGGUUGUCAUGCCAAUGGCAUUGCCCGGUAGCUAAAUGCGGAAGAGAUAAGUGCUGAAAGCAUCUAAGCACGAAACUUGCCCCGAGAUGAGUUCUCCCUGACUCCUUGAGAGUCCUGAAGGAACGUUGAAGACGACGACGUUGAUAGGCCGGGUGUGUAAGCGCAGCGAUGCGUUGAGCUAACCGGUACUAAUGAACCGUGAGGCUUAACCUUACAACGCCGAAG
rnacentral:rRNA from 1 species